ensembl:rRNA 5S_rRNA 5S ribosomal RNA
GUCUACGGCCAUACCACCCUGAACGCGCCCGAUCUCGGCUGAUCUCAGAAGCUAAGCAGGGUCGGGCCUGGUUAGUACUUGGAUGGGAGACCAAAGGGGUCAGUUCUUUCAACC